rnacentral:rRNA from 1 species
AGUGAACGCUGGCGGUAGGCCUAACACAUGCAAGUCGAACGGCAGCACAGUAAGAGCUUGCUCUUACGGGUGGCGAGUGGCGGACGGGUGAGGAAUACAUCGGAAUCUACUUUUUCGUGGGGGAUAACGUAGGGAAACUUACGCUAAUACCGCAUACGACCUACGGGUGAAAGCAGGGGAUCUUCGGACCUUGCGCGAUUGAAUGCGCCGAUGUCGGAUUAGCUAGUUGGCGGGGUAAAGGCCCACCAAGGCGACGAUCCGUAGCUGGUCCGAGAGGAGGAUCAGCCACACUGGAACUGAGACACGGUCCAGACUCCUACGGGAGGCAGCAGUGGGGAAUAUUGGACAAUGGGCGCAAGCCUGAUCCAGCCAUACCGCGUGGGUGAAGAAGGCCUUCGGGUUGUAAAGCCCUUUUGUUGGGAAAGAAAAGCAGCAGGUUAAUACCCCGCUGUUCUGACGGUACCCAAAGAAUAAGCACCGGCUAACUUCGUG